GGCUUGGUGGUGUAGUGGUUAUCACGUUUCGUUUACACUUUGUAAACCGUCACUUCGUAAGGAGGUCCGAAAAGGCCGCGAGUUCGAUCCUCGCCCGAGUCA
rfam:Fungal sp. No.11243 DNA, scaffold: sccafold0001.